UUCAGGAAGAUCCGACCGUUGGAUCUUCGUGAUGAUUUUUGGAGGGUGAUCCUAAGGGCGAUCCGUGAGGAUCCGACCGUUGGAUCAUCAUUUAAUUUCGAUCCGACCGUUGGAUUGUCGUUUGAAUAUGUUUUUGAGUUAUUGGCUAAGUUAAGGUCAUGUGUGAUUAGGUGAUUGACGGUCUCCCUUGGGUGAGCGGUUUUGGUGUGUAUUGUGUUGAAUUGAAGACGCAGCGGGAAUAUCGAGCGGGUAAUCCUGCAGGUCAGGAGAAUCAGGGCGGUGAUCGAGCGGGUUAGAGUAUUUGUUAUAGUUUUACAGCAUUUGUAAUAGUGAGGUGAGUUAAGCUCAUUGAGCCUUACAAUUUGAUUUGGUGAGAGUGUGUUGUAAUAAUUAACUUGAGGAUUUGAUUUAUUGUAAUAUUGAGAGGUGUGAAGUGUGGUUGUUUGUGAGAAAAAAAUUCAGGACGUUUAUUCUA